GGCUCCGUGGUGUAGUGGUUAUCACAUCUGCCUAACACGCAGAAGGUCCUGGGUUCGAAACCCAGCGGAACCU
rnacentral:tRNA from 1 species